GAUGAACGCUGGCGGCGUGCUUAACACAUGCAAGUCGAACGGACAGGCCCUGCUUUUGUGGGGUGCUCGAGUGGCGAACGGGUGAGUAACACGUGAGUAACCUGCCCCUGUCUUUGGGAUAACUUCAGGAAACUGGGGCUAAUACCGGAUAGGAGAUCCUGCUGCAUGGUGGGGGUUGGAAAGUUUCGGCGGUUGGGGAUGGACUCGCGGCUUAUCAGCUUGUUGGUGGGGUAGUGGCUUACCAAGGCUUUGACGGGUAGCCGGCCUGAGAGGGGGGCCGGCGACAUGGGGCCUGAGAGACGGCGCAGAAUCGUACGGGAGGCAGUAGGGGGGAAUAUUGCGCAAUGGGGGGACGCCUGAUGCAGCGACGCCGCGUGCGGGAUGACGGCUUUCUGGUUGUAAACCGCUUUCGCCGGUGCCGAAGCGUGAGUGACGGUAAUGGGUAAAGAAGCACCGGCUAACUACGUG
rnacentral:rRNA from 1 species